GGAUAAACAUCGGUAUCUGCACAUACAAAGUAAAAUGGAUUAGAAGAUUACACAAGGCAAAUGGCAGUGACGAAGUAUUUGUGCCACUCAUGAUGACAUGCUCUGUAUGCUAUAAAAUAUGGCUAUUAUUCAUUAACGCUAAGGCAGCUAUAAUGAAAUUGAAGGAAGAAAAUGUCAAUCUCGUUCUCCCCAAAGGAUUGUUCUCACUCUGGAUAAAGACAGUGAACUUCACAGGUUUUUUUGUCUAAAGUAACUGCUAUGCUUGUAGCUGCGCCAGAGCUGCUGAGGAAGCAGUGGCUCCUCCCUUUACUUUCAUGAUCAAUACAGCACUCUCCCCUUUAUCCGUGGUCCGCCUCCCGAGGUUUCACUUAUCCGCGGUCAGCCAAGAUGCAGAAGCAGACAAUCCUCCUUCUGAUGUAUGAUCGGAAGAUCAACCGUCGCCUAAGGCUAUGUCACAUGGCUACGUCACUCACCUCCCUUCAUCUGGUCACACAGACACGUUAUCAUCUCACAUCAUCACCAGAACAAGAAGAUUUUCAGCUUUCGAUAUCACAGUGAACAACACAACAGCAUGGUCGAGAGCUCCAAGUCUGAGCGAGAUCCCUGGAUGUGAAUCCUCACUCUACCAAGUGACUAAAGGUUACAGAACUGUAUACUGAAUGACAUACAUUCUCUAAAUGUAAUCGGUACCGAAAUUUGCUUCAGAAGUGCAAUGAGGGCAGGGAGCGGAUGAAGGAACGCUAAAGCAAGAUGUGUCGUCAUUUGUUUUGAAGCUGAGCUGUAAGAACAUGGGGGAGAGAAUCCAGGAUACAGGAAAGAUCCAACACAGGAGAACUAAAGAGAAUCCAGCUGUGCCCCAGACAAGGACAACCAGGCCAGACUGAAGUGGUGUAACCCGAGGCAGAGUGAAGAGUCCUGCAGCACUAUUAUCGGUAAAAAUGUUUAACGUGUGUUCUACGUUUGACACCUAAGCGGAUUUGAAACACAAGAGGACAAAUAAGAGACUAAAGAUGAUGGGAAAAGACGUGUGACAAGCCUGGG